rfam:Gallus gallus isolate RJF #256 breed Red Jungle fowl, inbred line TCD001 chromosome 1, whole genome shotgun sequence.
ACCAAGGCUUUUCUAAAAGCCAGUUAAUUUACUAUGAAUAUUGUUGU